rnacentral:rRNA from 1 species
AGUGAACGCUGGCGGUAGGCCUAACACAUGCAAGUCGAACGGCAGCACAGGAGAGCUUGCUCUCUGGGUGGCGAGUGGCGGACGGGUGAGGAAUACAUCGGAAUCUGCCCAGUCGUGGGGGAUAACGUAGGGAAACUUACGCUAAUACCGCAUACGACCUUCGGGUGAAAGAGGGGGAUCGCAAGACCUCUCGCGAUUGGAUGAGCCGAUGUCGGAUUAGCUAGUUGGCGGGGUAAUGGCCCACCAAAGCGACGAUCCGUAGCUGGUCUGAGAGGAUGAUCAGCCACACUGGAACUGAGACACGGUCCAGACUCCUACGGGAGGCAGCAGUGGGGAAUAUUGGACAAUGGGCGCAAGCCUGAUCCAGCCAUACCGCGUGGGUGAAGAAGGCCUUCGGGUUGUAAAGCCCUUUUGUUGGGAAAGAAAUCUUUCAGGCUAAUACCCUGGGAGGAUGACGGUACCCAAAGAAUAAGCACCGGCUAACUUCGUG